UCUUCCUUUUUCGUUCUCCGUUCUUCAUUUCAGUAUUAACCUCACCGUCCCAAUGUCCCCACCGCCGGAGCAUGUACCUCUCCUGCCGGAGAUGAAGCCGCCUAUUAAAACCGCAUCUGUCUCCGGCGCCGUGUUUAAUGUAUCGACCAGCAUAAUCGGCGCCGGAAUCAUGUCGAUUCCAUUCACUCUUAAGGUCCUCGGCAUAAUCCCAGCCGUCGCGCUAAUCAUGCUUGUGGCUUUCAUGACCGACUUAUCGGUGGAGCUUUUGCUCAGAUUCACUCACUCCAGUAACUCAACAACUUACGCCGGCGUGAUGAAGGAGUCAUUCGGCUUGAUUGGUUCCGUGGCUACGCAAAUUUGUGUCAUGAUUACAAAUCUCGGAUGCUUAAUCAUGUACUUGAUUAUAAUAGGCGAUGUCUUAUCUGGAAACAAAGGAGGAGGGGGAGGAGAGGAAGUGCAUUUUGGAGUAUUGCAACAAUGGUUUGGAAAUCAUUGGUGGAAUUCGAGAGAGUUUUCGAUUCUUUUCACAGUCGUCUUUAUUCUACUUCCUCUUGUUCUUUAUCAACGCGUUGAUUCUUUGAGAUUUAGUUCGUUUGUAUCGGUUGUUCUGGCGGUGGUUUUCGUUGGGAUAAGCUCUGUAAUGGCGGUAAUGGCGAUUGUUGAAGGGAAAACGAAGAGGACGAGACUGGUGCCGGAGGUUGAAGAUGAAACUUCCUUCUUCGAACUUUUCACUGCUGUGCCUGUUAUUGUCACUGCCUUCACCUUUCAUUUCAAUGUUCAUCCAAUAAGUUUCGAGCUUCGAAACUCAAGAAAUAUGAUGACGGCAGUUCGAGUGGCUCUCAUUCUAUGUGCCAUCAUAUACUUCGCCAUCGGCAUUUUUGGGUACUUGCUAUUUGGGGACUCUUUGAUGUCGGACAUUUUAACCAAUUUUGAUCAAACUUUUGGUUCAUCAACAGGAGCUAAUUUACUGAAUGAUAUUGUGAGACUAAGCUAUGCAUUUCAUCUCAUGCUGGUUUACCCUUUGCUCAACUUCUCAUUAAGGUUCAAUAUCAAUGAAUUGUUGUUCCCAAAUAGGCCUCCUUUGGCCUCAGAUACUACAAGGUUUUUUACCAUCACAAUGGCUUUGCUUCUCUUCUCCUACUUGGCUGCCAUUGCUUUCCCAAAUAUUUGGUCCAUUUUUCAGUUUAUGGGCUCGACCUCGGCUGCCUGCCUCGCCUUCAUCUUCCCUGGAGCCAUCGCCCUGAGGUUAUGGCGGAAAUGCGUGACAAUUCAAACAUUUCUCGAGAUUUAUUUUCACUCGAAACGGGACCAUCACUUGAUGUCUGCUUUUACAGUGGAUGCAUUGUUGGUGGUGUACGAUUUCAAACGUUGGAGCAUAAUUUUCGAUGCACAACACAAAAUAGUGGAGUCAUGGUAAUCGGGGAGGUGACGAUGAUUUGACACAAACAAAAACAAAAAUCAUAGGACGCACGAGGAACUAGGUUACAAAUCAAUAAACACGUCCCAUUUUUGGUUCGCCGAGGAAUCGAUGAUUCUCCCGAUCUAGACAUAUCAGGUCAUGUCGCAAAAAGAUCAAAUGUACGUCAUGUCGCGAAAAACUUCAUAAACGAUGAAGAUGACGAACAAUCAUCACAUCAAAAAAUGGCGUCUAACUUUCCAAGCAAUACGCAAGAGGAAGACUAUUUCCUUAAUGUAGACGCGUUGGAUAACGUGGGCGGUUCGUCGUUAGUAGGUGACACUUCAUAUCUCUCUCAUCAGGCUCCCACUCCCACUGCGAGGAGCAUACGACGACAUUCUUGAAACAUAGAUGUCGAGCGGUACUUAUAGCAGAAUGGGAGAAUUCCCAUUUCAAUCCCCCCCGGAGGGAACAAACUUGUCUCGGUACACGCCCCUUAUUUCAGUUGCACGAUCGGUGUGUUGACACAAGAUACGUUUUCUAUUUAGGCCGUAAAGUUGACAGUGUACCACCAAAGUGCAUCAAGAUCGUCAAGGCCGGACUAAAUGAUCCAACACUUAAUCGCAAAUUUUCAUGUUUGAUCUAAAAGAUCCAGCACUUAAUCGGUUUGUUCAGCAUCAAAUGCUCACCGUGUAAAAGAAAUUCAGAACAAGUAACCAUCGAAAUUUUAAGAAGUUUGACACCCUUAAAGAAGCACGAGCAAACUCACCCCCGAGAUUGGUCAAUCGGGUGGAAGGAGCAAUCAAAUAUGUGCAGGUCUGUUAGGACGUGGCAGCCUUACAACCACAAGAGUGGCACAAAGUCGGUUAUUCAGAGACAAACAGAGCUUACUGAACUACACGAUCGUCUGGUGGACCUUGUCGAGUUAUUCAGAGAAACACACGCCAGUAGUAGUGGCGAGUUCAUUUCAACAAGAGGACGCUUUUAAUCAAAUGGUGGAACUUCAGUCUUAGCCUGUUCUAGAGGGUUCUCAACCACUAACUGAGGACUAGAUAUGCGAGACAGUUUUGAGUAAACGACCGGGUUACUCAAAAGGUCUUGGUUGGGGCCCAAAACCCAAGUCUAAGACUACCGCUUCAUCUUCUUCCUCUAAUAUGUAUGACCACCAAUCACACAUAGCAGAGGUUAGCGAACUAAAGGCAAGCCUUGAAAAUGCUAACUAAAUCAUCAAAGAACAAUGUCUGAGGGAGUUGGAGUGAGAUCGACAAAUGCAGGAGCGAGAUCGGCAAAUGACGAACCAUGCACGACAAAUUGAGGAGAUGAAGAAGAUGCUCGAGGAGAUCAGUCAGGCACAAAGAGGCCCGUGAUCACUUGGAGUUUCACGUCCAUAACUACAGCGUACUAAAGCAUUUUCGAGUUUUUUUUUAAUGUAAUGUUUUGGAUGAUGUAAUUGUUUUUUUUUUUUUGUAUUGUGAACAUAUAUUUCAUGGAUAAUUUUGUAAUGAACGAAAAUUUUUUCAUUUUCA